UACAGGGGGGGCAAGCGUUGUUCGGAAUUACUGGGCGUAAAGGGUCCGUAGGUGGCCAACUAAGUCAGACGUGAAAUCCCUCAGCUUAACUGGGGAACUGCGUCUGAUACUGGAUGGCUUGAGUGUGGGAGAGGGAUGCGGAAUUCCAGGUGUAGCGGUGAAAUGCGUAGAUAUCUGGAGGAACACCGGUGGCGAAGGCGGCAUCCUGGACCAACACUGACACUGAGGAGCGAAAGCCAGGGGAGCAAACGGG
rnacentral:rRNA from 1 species